AUCUUGACCUCAGAUCAGGCAAGGCUACCCGCUGAAUUUAAGCAUAUUAAUAAGCGGAGGAAAAGAAACUAACAAGGAUUCCCUCAGUAACGGCGAGUGAAGCGGGAAUAGCUCAAAUUUGAAAUCUCCGACGCUUGCGUCGGCGAAUUGUAGUUGCGAGAAGCWCUUUCUAGGCGGAUCGGUCGUGCCUAAGUUGCUUGGAACAGUACGUCAUAGAGGGUG
rnacentral:rRNA from 1 species